rnacentral:tRNA from 1 species
UUGGCCGUGGUGUAACGGCAGCACAUUGGGUUGUGAUCCCAGGAGUGUGGGUUCGAAUCCCAUCGGUCAAC